AGUGAACGCUGGCGGUAGGCCUAACACAUGCAAGUCGAACGGCAGCACAGUAAGAGCUUGCUCUUACGGGUGGCGAGUGGCGGACGGGUGAGGAAUACAUCGGAAUCUACUUUUUCGUGGGGGAUAACGUAGGGAAACUUACGCUAAUACCGCAUACGACCUACGGGUGAAAGCAGGGGAUCUUCGGACCUUGCGCGAUUGAAUGAGCCGAUGUCGGAUUAGCUAGUUGGCGGGGUAAAGGCCCACCAAGGCGACGAUCCGUAGCUGGUCUGAGAGGAUGAUCAGCCACACUAGAACUGAGACACGGUCCCGACUCCUACGGGAGGCAGCAGUGGGGAAUAUUGGACACUGGGCGCAAGCCUGAUCCAGCCAUACCGCGUAGGUGAAGAAGGCCUUCGGGUUGUAAAGCCCUUUUGUUGGGAGAGAAAAGCAGCAGGUUAAUACCCCGCUGUUCUGACGGUACCCAAAGAAUAAGCAACGGCUAACUUCGUG
rnacentral:rRNA from 1 species